rnacentral:rRNA from 1 species
UGGGGAAUAUUGGACAAUGGGCGAAAGCCUGAUCCAGCCAUGCCGCGUGAGUGAUGAAGGCCCUAGGGUUGUAAAGCUCUUUUGUGCGGGAAGAUAAUGACGGUACCGCAAGAAUAAGCCCCGGCUAACUUCGUGCCAGCAGCCGCGGUAAUACGAAGGGGGCUAGCGUUGCUCGGAAUCACUGGGCGUAAAGGGUGCGUAGGCGGGUCUUUAAGUCAGAGGUGAAAUCCUGGAGCUCAACUCCAGAACUGCCUUUGAUACUGAGGAUCUUGAGUUCGGGAGAGGUGAGUGGAACUGCGAGUGUAGAGGUGAAAUUCGUAGAUAUUCGCAAGAACACCAGUGGCGAAGGCGGCUCACUGGCCCGAUACUGACGCUGAGGCACGAAAGCGUGGGGAGCAAACAGGAUUAGAUACCCCCGUAGUCCCUGAGCGGGCUGGCAAGGCGCAU